rnacentral:rRNA from 1 species
GAUGAACGCUGGCGGCGUGCCUAAUACAUGCAAGUCGAGCGAACAGACGAGGAGCUUACUCCUCUGACGUUAGCGGCGGACGGGUGAGUAACACGUGGAUAACCUACCUAUAAGACUGGGAUAACUUCGGGAAACCGGAGCUAAUACCGGAUAACAUGUUGAACCGCAUGGUUCAACAGUGAAAGACGGUCUUGCUGUCACUUAUAGAUGGAUCCGCGUCGCAUUAGCUAGUUGGUAAGGUAACGGCUUACCAAGGCAACGAUGCGUAGCCGACCUGAGAGGGUGAUCGGCCACACUGGAACUGAGACACGGUCCAGACUCCUACGGGAGGCAGCAGUAGGGAAUCUUCCGCAAUGGGCGAAAGCCUGACGGAGCAACGCCGCGUGAGUGAAGAAGGUCUUCGGAUCGUAAAACUCUGUUAUUAGGGAAGAACAAAUGUGUAAGUAACUAUGCACGGCUUGACGGUACCUAAUCAGAAAGCCACGGCUAACUACGUG